UCGGUGAAACGAAUAACAUCUGCCAAGGUAUAAAAGCCGUGACACGAUUGUAAGAGUCGAAAGAAACAGCUGGCCCACAAAAGAAUUCUUUCUGACCGCUCAUCGAUGGCGAAUGAUCGCUUUCGAUCGAACGCUGAUUCAUGCGGUCCGAAUUUCGGACACUGUUCGUCGCAUGCCGAGUCGAUGAUGUGUUAAAUCGUCGAUCGCGCUUCUUUUUAAUUUUUCCAACUGUAAGAAGAUUGAUUUCGAUGAAGACAGAAUGGCGAGCAUCGAAUAAUAUCGAUAAAGAGAACGAGAUAAUCAAAAACGUGAGAUGAGCUAUACAUUUGCGAUUAAUUAAAAUAUUAAAAAGUAAUUCAAACCAAAGGAUCGAUUCAUCUGAGUAUUAUCACACAUCGAUGUGUUUAUUAAUCGUCACUAAAUAAAUCAUUUUUAAAGGAACGAACGAUAUACCUAAGUGAAAAAAUAAGAGAUGUCAUAAGAUAAAAUAAUUUGUUUUCUUAAUUGCGAUCCAACGAUAAUCUAGAUCUGUUAGAAUGAUUUGAUGAGAAUAGAUAUAUGAAUAUAAGCGAUUCAUUCUUGUCGCCCUUUGGUUGAAAGCAAACCAACACAUCCUUCGUUACCAUCAUGGCAACAUUACCAACGGUACGUUUACCGUGUCGAGAAUUACAGGUCCCCAGCUACGAUUAAAUAGAUCUUGUGUUCUCCAGUGUUGGAACAAAGCAACGCGUGCGCAUAUCUAGUAUGACCAGAAUGCAAGGAAGUCGUGUGCUGUAAAACACGUUGCGUCGUAAGCAGCGAUGGCAGUAGCACCUUUGUCGUGGAAGCACCUUGAGUACAAAGAAACGACAAUAUCUAUUCUCUCUCGGAGCAGAAUAUCGUACGAGCACGUAUUACCGUUAACCAUAAACAUUUGACAUUUUCUACGAACAUACACUUCGUCGAGAAAAGUGAAUUACACUGUUGUUAGGCGCACGCGCGGGUGGAGCACGUCCUUGGAUCCAACUUACGUCUAUGAGAACACGAUGAUGGCAUUAUAAACUUCUACUUAUGCAUUACGACUUCCGAAGCAAUGUAAUAGGCUCAAACGACUUUAUAACUGUCAACGGGACGUAUUAAAUUAACCUUUCGAACCGAACCUUAUAUCUAUUAACGACAUAAAGACUCGAUAAUAUAUCACAUGUCAACUAUUAUUCUGGAAUUCUUAUUACACAAUUCAAGUAAUUUAUCUUAUUUCCAUUAACUUUCAAGGAGCAAUUUGAAUGUGAUCAGGAAUGGAGUCAAUUGAAGUUGGUAUGUAUGUAUGUAAAGUUAAGAUAACUCGUAAUGCGUCAUGAUAAAAUCGAUAAGUUUAAAAAUGAGGUGGAUACUAGCUACGACACUUGUCGAAGGAUAUUAGUAUAAUAAAUGGUAAAGAAUCCCACUCAUUUUCCUUUUGUAAGUGCAGACAUUGCAUGGACGAACUUGCUGGCGCCGAGGUUGAAAUAAUUCAGCAUAUUACACGCAUAGUUUACCGCGCGAAAUGUUCCGCCAUUUCUAACCACUUUAACUCUUCUCCUUCCUUUCUUAGUAAUCGCGUGAGUACAAAACGUUUAUCCUUUUGAUAACAAAUUAUCUAUAAUAUUUAUUAAAUAAUAUAAUGAAAAGCAAAGGUUUGCCUUGUAGCGAUUUAAUAUUUCUCGUUUAUGUUAUAAAUACGUUCGAAAUAGAGUUAAAUAUAGUUCCUUAUGCUGCAUUUUUGUAUUCUCUCCCUUUCUCUUUCUCUCUCUCUCUCUCUCUCUCUCUCUCUCUCUCUCUCUCUCUGUCUCUCUUUCUUUCUCUCAACAUCGUACUUUAGAAGCCCGCAUGUGCACCUGAUCCGAGUACUCACGCGAUUGCAAUGGCAUACUGCUUUCAAACGAACGGGAUCUUAAAGUUGACGAAGAAAGGAGUUCGGUUUAUCGUACUAAGAAUUUAUUAUGCCGCUGGCUGUGUGAUACUUCGACUCUAUGUCGGAAGUAUCGAAUAAUAAAAAAUUAACUAUUUGUUAAUCACGAAUACACUUCAUGAACAUUACAAGAAUCUCAAUAAACAUAUAGAGAAACAAGAAAACGCAAUUUCAUUAUCUUUCCGUACGAAUACGGCAACCCUCGUAAAAAUGAUAAAUGUCUAAAAACCUGUCUCUGACGAUGAAGUUUCAAACGAAAAAGAAAAGUCACGUUACACACUUAUCCAACGGAAUCGUCAUUACGUCGACAAUUCUGUGAUAACUUUUCUUUCUCCUUGAUGAUAUUCCUUCUUGGUAUCUCCGAUCCUAAGAAAAUCAUUUUCCUAUUCCAAGGCUAUCACAUUAAAUGCAGUUAUAUCUAUGUAUGUACAUUUCAUAUUUUAGAUUUAAUUGUAAGAUAUCAAGCUUUACACGGAAAUGGAAAGACGAUCGACGAUUCAACGAAAGUCAAUGUUCGUUUUGGAUAACCACAUAGUAGAAAAUCAAUAGAAUGCAAAAGGAAUGCUUUAUCGUUCGAUAUUCGAUACACUCGAGACGGAAUGGAAGAGAAACGUGGUUUUUCAAUGAACAAACGAUGGACAAGGAAGAGAAGAUAAAAAGGAGAAGGGACUCAUGGGACUGCGAAUAUCUCUCAAGAAACGAAUUCUGUCUUAUGACAAGAAAGAAGAAAGAAGAAAGAAGAAAGAAGGAAGAAAUAGUAGAGAGAAAGAAAGAGAGAGAGAGAGAGAGAGAGAGAGAGAGAGAGAGAGAGAAAUAAAAAGGAAUGGGGAGAGAGGAAUCGUAACCGCAAUGAAACGAGCUUCGCGAAAGACAAGAUCCCCGUGAGAAAGCGAACGAAGUAUUCGGUAUAAUAUCACGAGUGGGUUACCACUAGGCGUUAUUACGUGCCGUGUAACGCCUUCUAUAUCCUUUAUCCGCGAUCUAAAUCUUAGUUACGAGCGGCGCAAGCGCACAGUUAUGGUUUUGCGGUAAUUAUAAUGACGCCGGUAACAACCGCGUUCCGAAAGCUUCUCUUCUUUGACAAUCGUACCACACGCGUUCCGGUUAUCUUUUUUCUACGAAAACCGCACUUUGACAUUUCGCUGUUUUAUUACUGGAAAAAGAAAAGAACAAAAAAAAAAAAGAAAAAAACAAGAGAAAGUAAUGAUCUCUCUGUGUCAUUUUUCAAGAAAGAAAAAAUUUUUUGAUUGAUGGUAAAUGACAGAAAUGAAACAACUUAUCAUAAAUUUGCAAUAAAAUUAUAGGAUCAUUUUUAAUCCGAAGUACAUUCAGAAAAAUAAAAGAAAAAAUACAUAAUAACGUACGACUUAGAAAGCUUCACGCUCGUUAGAAGAAGAUAUUAUUGAAGGAAAAAAAUGGUAUAAAGUAAAUAAGAUAAGAAAAUAAGAGCAAGACAAGAAAGACGAGUUGUCUUGUACUGCAUUUUUUGUAUUAUCUUUCUUUUUCCUUUAGCGUUCAUAUCUUAGUAAGUUUGGCCGAACAGCAAGCGGCAUUCUCUCCUCUGUAUCCGUAUCGAAGAAUUAAUAUAUGUUCCAAGAGAACGGUCGCUCGUCGUGACUUUCGAAAGAGUUCGCUUAUGCACUCGAUAUCAAAAGAGAUUUUCUCUCUUUCUCUCUCUCUCUCUCUCUCUCUCUCUAUCUCUCUCUUUAUCUCUUUUUCUCCUUCACUCGCAAUCUCUUUCCUCAACGAUAUCAUACUUAAUUCGGUUCUACCCACGAAAAAGAGUGUGUACUUUACCGAGCGUAACGAUAU